GUCAACUCCAACGGGGACAUUCUUCAGAAAGAAAAGCCUAAAUAAGGAUUUGUUCAACGGACCAUAACCAUUCAUGGCUCAAAGAGGGUUAUACUACUUUUGUGCCUGGAAACGUUUCUAGCAAAGUCUUCAUUUCCUGGACCAAAGGAUGUGUGAUUUAUGCGAAGAUCUGCCCUCCUGUUGCCUCAUGGGCUGGGACCUUUGGAGAGACUCUUUGUGUAUUCUCAAGAAAGGCUUAGUAUUUAGAAGGUGCUCCACUCCUUUUCUGAGAAGACUCUUUCCCUGAUUCUCUUCCAAAGCCCUGAUUAGAAUGAAACUAACAUCUAUUUGAAAAGGUAAAUAUCUGAGUGGAAUGACUGGAUCAUAUGAUGAGGAAACUGAGGCACAAAAAGGUGAAGUCCUGAGCUCACAGUCAUGCAACCAGCAGGUGGUGAAACACACCUCCAAGCUGCCUGCCUCCUAAGCAUCAAGCUUUGUGGCCCAGGAUCUACUUCAUGCUCCAAAUAUUCAUGGACCUUCCCAGGACCUCAACAAAACAAAACCAUGAAGAAAAACCUUGACAUGAACCCCAAAAAAACCCAGUCAGCAAUAUUUUAAGUUAAAUUUUGAAACAAAUCCAAACGGGUUCCUCCCCAUAAAUCUACCAGUAAAUUGUGCAGAAUCAGAACUGAAGCCAUGCCCUUUCUUAAAGUAUUGAAUUAGAAUAAAUGAGAACAUCUAAAUAUUUUCCAAAUUCAUAUUCCAGUUAUAAUAUUCAAGUUUCUUAGUUUCUCUCUGUUCACAUUCAACAUGAAAUAGUCCCAUUAGUCAGUAGCAAGAGCUGCAACAUUUCUACAGGUACUAAAGGAUGUGAUCAGAGCAGGGAAGAUGGCCAACAAGAUGAUGCCACUCUAGCGGGUGCCCAUCCAAAUCAUAACCCAUGAAUACUGCGGCUUUAUUAUCUUGGACAACAGAAAGCUGAUCUUGUAAUUGGAUGAUCACCCCUGCUUGCAUGCUUUCGAGUAGUUACGUAUGACAAAAGGAGCUACUGGUUUUGUGAUGAUGGGUUUCUGGGUAAACCCUAGAUGCAGAAGCAGCUUUUAAGCAUAGCAGAGCAAGAGUCAAAUGGUUCUGAAAAAAGUUUUAACUCUGAGAUGACUUCUCCCCGCUUCUUUCACUCUACCCUCUCAAUCCUAGAGCAAGUGAGCAGAGUAGGUAAAGCUGUUUCCUCCAGAAAGAUGAUCCAUAUUUUAAACAGCUCUGUGAAUGGGGCACUAAGACUCAGAAGAUCUGGUUUUCAGUUCGCAUUCUGCCUUUAACUGGUCUUGAAAGUUUGGGCAACUCAAUUAUCUCAUGGAGUCAGUAUUUGCAUCUGUACAGUGGGGAUAUGAAUACCUGUCUUACCUACACGGAGCUGUAAGAGCAACAGAAUGUGAGCUGGCAUGAUGUUAUUAUAUGUAUCACCUUGGUUAUUUUAAAACAUGCUUGAUGUAUUAGCCUCUCUGUUUCCUCUUGAGUUUUCCUGCAGAGAUGUCUUUUAAACCAAGCAUCACUCUCCCAAUCAGAGACAGGGCUAACUAGAUAGACAAAUGAGAAAGAGAAGUCGGGGAUGGGAUGGGAGCACAGCCAAUGCAGAAACAGUCAUGUGUAUUCUUCUAGACAGGUGAGCAGAGACAUUUUCAGGAUUUCAGGGGGGCAGGAUGGAGACAUGGGGGAAGCUUCUGGGUCAGUUCUUGAUGGUGUGGCUUCAGUAUGUAGAUGCACACAUUCUCCUCUAAGUCGAAAAGAAUAUACUGGGGGUUUCCAUUCUUUUGGAUUUUCCAGGCUUCUAACGACCUCCACCAUUCCCAGUCCAGAGGAGGUCAUGGGAUGAUAGAAAGUGGGAGCAACCAGGGCAUGUGCCUUUUCAUUUCGCAGUGGAGGGGCUGAGGCUUGGAAAGAGGGCCUGGCUUAGGGAAUACAGACUUCAGCUCAGAAAAUCUAACAGGAAUUCUCUUCUGUGACUGCUAGACAGGCUUGAAACUACUUAGCAAUAUUCUGAUUUUUUUUCUCUGCAAUAUCAAUAAGGGUAAGCACCCAGUGCCUUCUGGCAGCACCCCCAGAAGCUGCCACCUAC
rnacentral:lncRNA from 10 species